AAAGUUUGAGCAAAUAUACAUGAAAAAGAACAAUGUUUCUUCAGAAAAAGAAUCCAGCUUUUCAAUAGAAAACUCCUUCAAAGACACUAAAUGAGCCCACAAACAUUAAUCUGUUUGGAUAAAUAUUCCAUUUCUACAGAUGUGUAGACAAACAACUGUCUUCUUUGUUGUUUGUGUGUGUUCAUCUCUCCAUACUGUAAAGGUGGGACCAGUGUUGCCUUCAGAAGGUGGAGCGUUACGUCUCGUCCAGCGGGGCGUGACGGCUGCACAGACUUAGACGCACCAACAGGAAGUUCAGUCUGUUGUUGAAGCCAUGCUGGGCGCCACGGUCGGACUGCUGCUGUCGCUUCUGACCCAUGGAAGUCUGAGGGUGUGUUUACCUGCGCAGUCCCAUGUUCAGUCUGAAAAAGGAAGUUCGUCCACACCUGAAGGUUCUCCGCUCAGCUCCACUGUGCAGCCCGCUCACACUGACCUGACACCGAGGUCUGAUCCGCCGGGCAGCACUUUCGUUCUCGUCCCGCUUCCUGCUCCACACAUGCAUGAUGAUGACUCCCAAGCUGCAGCAAAACCUCAAGUUGCCAUAGAAACCAAGACCACAGCCGGCCGAGCCGCAAAAGCAAAACCAAACACUGAAGACGAGGAAGUGCCAGAAAACUCCAAACCCCUCCCUCAGACUCUGAAAGAGAUUUUUCAUUCCAAUUCUCCCAAAAUGGUGACACUGAGAGAUGAACGGGGCUCCACAGGCAUUACUACCAACAGCCCAGAUGGUGAAGAACCUCCUCAUGUGACUGAUCAGCCAUCACUUUAUCAAUCUAAUGGUGUCACCAAAAUGGGCUGUGAUGAGACUCCAACUUCAAAUCCACAGACUCAAUCACCUCAGAGUCCUGCAGAAAAAAGUCAGAAUAUCUCUGAUGAGCCUCAGUUUGCUCCAACAUCUCUUCUAGUUGUUGUGUCCACCACAGAAUCUGCACUCGGCGCCUCCAGAGAGAAGCUUUUAUCUGAGGAAGGAGAGAUGAUGGAAGGUAUUCCCAGUCCAUCCUCCUCAUCAUCCUGGAUUCCAGCAGUCACUCUCAGUGCGUCUGGACUGGAGGAAGAAAUGCCCCAAAAGCAGGCGGAGUCACUGGACUCCGCAUCCCCUCCCAAAGCCCCGCCCACAAACCUGACCGCCUCAUCUCCCACACAGCAAAGCACGGAUGCAUCAAGUACCAGCGAUUCAGAGAUCCGGCUGGGUAACGCUGUACUCACCACAAGUAAAGAAACAAAAGAAAUGGAGGCAACUUUUCCCCCCGCAGCAAACGUGAUGCUGCUUCCAGAUGAAGAACAAGAGAGCGGGAUGAAGAGGGAUGAAGAUGAAGCUGGUGUGGAUAUAGAGAAGGGACGGUACGGACAAGAGGACAAGGACAAAAUAAUUCAUCAAACCCACGCUGAGAGAUUUUUCAAUCAGAACGUGGAUUCUUUGGUCAAAGCAGAGAUAAAUCCAACAGUUCCAAACACAGACAGACAUCAGGACACCAGACCAGAUCCUGGAGUCAGAGGUCAAAGGGGAUUGCACGGCCCACCAGGGCUACCAGGAUACCCGGGACCUAAAGGAGAUAAAGGGGACCGAGGUGUCGUGGGCAGACCCGGACAAACCGGAGACCGAGGAGCUGUUGGUCCACCUGGGAUGCCUGUGACCUUUGUGAUCACAGCCUCUGAAGAAGAAUGGAAGGCGUUCAAGAGAAAGAAAAUCUACAAAAACCUCGUCUCAUCCUGGCCGGUACGUCAUUCCUGUUCAUUUAAGACUUUACUAUUCAAUUUUACAAACAAGGUCAUAUUUUUCUUUAUUCCCAGCGUGUGUCAACAUGUAUUUCUGUCAGAUCUAUGAAGCUGUUGUUGCUGUGCACAUUGAUGUUUUUUCCUAGAAACGUACGGGCCCCCCAGGCCCCCGUGGGUCCCCAGGAGAAGAGGGGCCAAUAGGACCGCCAGGAAUGAGAGGAAAACAAGGAAAAAGAGGAGUUCAAGGGAAAAUUGGCAGUCGUGGUCCACAUGGAAUUCCAGGUCCUCAAGGGCGACCUGGAGUAGAUGGCAUCCCAGGACACAAUGAGGAUCCAGGCCCUCCAGGCUUGCCUGGAGAUCAGGGUCCCAAAGGUUACAUGGGAGAACAAGGCAGCAAAGGGGAGCAGGGUGAGUGGGUAAGAGCGCAUUCGACUUCCUGUUUCAUCGUAAAUAAAAAGGCAAAGACAUUUAGAGUGAAAAUGUAGGUCAUUAGGUGUCACAUACCUGGUUACCAGACUGACUAAUAGAUUGACAGAAAGUUGUGAGCUGCAGAAAUCUGAAAUAAUUUCUUUAGUUAUUAAUUAUUAGGGUGAAAAAAUGUCAA